UACGUAGGGUGCAAGCGUUAAUCGGAAUUACUGGGCGUAAAGCGUGCGCAGGCGGUGAUGUAAGACAGUUGUGAAAUCCCCCGGGCUCAACCUGGGAACUGCAUCUGUGACUGCAUCGCUGGAGUGCGGCAGAGGGGGGAUGGAAUUCCGCGUGUAGCAGUGAAAUGCGUAGAUAUGCGGAGGAACACCGAUGGCGAAGGCAAUCCCCUGGGCCUGCACUGACGCUCAUGCACGAAAGCGUGGGGAGCAAACAGGA
rnacentral:rRNA from 1 species